AAGAUCUGUUGAAAGAGCGCCAGAAGGACCUAAAGUUUCUCUCAGAAGAGGAGUAUUGGAAAUUACAAAUAUUUUUUACAAAGUUAUCUGCUGUGCCUGAUGCUGAGGAAGUUAGGAUCUCCUGACGGAGUUACAGAGGACUAUGAGCCACCAUUUAUCCAAGCAUUAGGGGAACAUCUUAAAUUAAGACAACAAGUUAUUGCUACUGCUACAGUCUAUUUCAAGAGAUUCUAUGCCAGGUAUUCUCUGAAAAGUAUAGAUCCUGUAUUAAUGGCUCCUACAUGUGUGUUUCUGGCAUCCAAAGUAGAGGAAUUUGGUGUCGUCUCAAAUACAAGAUUGAUUGCUGCUACUACUUCUGUAUUAAAAACUAGAUUUUCAUAUGCCUUUCCAAAGGAAUUUCCUUACAGGAUGAAUCAUAUACUAGAAUGUGAAUUUUACCUCUUAGAAUUAAUGGACUGUUGCUUGAUAGUGUAUCAUCCUUAUAGACCUUUGCUCCAGUAUGUGCAGGACAUGGGCCAAGAAGACGUGUUGCUUCCCCUUGCAUGGAGGAUAGUGAAUGACACCUACAGGACGGAUCUUUGUCUUCUGUAUCCUCCUUUCA
rnacentral:lncRNA from 1 species